GUGCAUCUUAAAAGAUGUUGCAGUAGAGUUUGAGAACUCUGCUUCAAGUAUUGCAAGUCUGAGACAACAAAUUGCAAUAUGUCUUCUUGAGAAUUCAGAUGACCUGACUGACCUAUGCCACUAUUGUGGGAACCAGGAUGGUGACACCCAAUGGAUUGGCUGCGACAUUUGCCCACGGUGGUACCACAGGAGCUGUGCAAAGAAGCCCCGCAAGAGCAAAGAAAACAAAUUUGUCUGUGAAGCAUGCUGGUCAGCCAGUUAGGGUUUCUUUUUUGAAAUGUGUGUUUUGUAUCGUUGUCUCCAAUAGUAUUUAUUAGUUGUUUAUUUAUUUAUUCUUUCAUUUAUGUUUGUGUUGCUGUGUGUGCUUCUGUAUUGUUAACAACAUUAAAAUUCAGCUUUGAUGUUGUUUCAUGGUUUACUGGUGUUCAGCUUCCGCUAUACCCAAUGUUUCUGGUAUAUUUGUUAGUUUAUUUCAAUUGGUGGUUUGUUCUUUAAUUGGAUAUUAUUAUUAUUUUUUUUGGUUUUAGUUUCAAUUAAUAAGUGCUGUAUUGGAAUUACAUUUUUUUACCUUUUGUUUUCUCUUUAGUAUUACUUAUUGUUCCGAAUUUGUUUAUGCAUAUCUCCUCCCAGCUGUUUCCAUUUGGCCAUUAUCCUUUUUUGUGUUAUAUUUGAAAUUUGACAUUUUUUGCGCUGUCCAAUAAAGGCUUGAUUUAAAUUUGCAGCAGAA
rnacentral:lncRNA from 1 species